rnacentral:rRNA from 1 species
UACGUAGGGUGCAAGCGUUGUCCGGAAUUAUUGGGCGUAAAGAGCUCGUAGGCGGUCUGUCGCGUCGGCUGUGAAAACCCGGGGCUCAACCCCGGGCCUGCAGUCGAUACGGGCAGACUAGAGUGCGGUAGGGGAGACUGGAAUUCCUGGUGUAGCGGUGAAAUGCGCAGAUAUCAGGAGGAACACCGGUGGCGAAGGCGGAUCUCUGGGCCAUAACUGACGCUGAGGAGCGAAAGCAUGGGGAGCGAACAGG